rnacentral:rRNA from 1 species
AGUGAACGCUGGCGGUAGGCCUAACACAUGCCAGUCGAACGGCAGCACAGUAAGAGCUUGCUCUUACGGGUGGCGAGUGGCGGACGGGUGAGGAAUACAUCGGAAUCUACUUUUUCGUGGGGGAUAACGUAGGGAAACUUACGCUAAUACCGCAUACGACCUACGGGUGAAAGCAGGGGAUCUUCGGACCUUGCGCGAUUGAAUGAGCCGAUGUCGGAUUAGCUAGUUGGCGGGGUAAAGGCCCACCAAGGCGACGAUCCGUAGCUGGUCUGAGAGGAUGGUCGGCCACACUGGAAGUGAGACACGGUCCAGACUCCUACGGGAGGCAGCAGUGGGGAAUAUUGGACAAUGGGCGCAAGCCUGAUCCAGCCAUACCGCGUGGGUGAAGAAGGCCUUCGGGUUGUAAAGCCCUUUUGUUGGGAAAGAAAAGCAGCAGGUUAAUACCCCGCUGUUCUGACGGUACCCAAAGAAUAAGCACCGGCUAACUUCGUG